rnacentral:rRNA from 1 species
GUCCACGCCGUAAACGAUGGGUACUAGGCGUCGGGGGGAGCGACCCCCUCGGUGCCGUCGCUAACGCAGUAAGUACCCCGCCUGGGGAGUACGGUCGCAAGACUGAAACUCAAAGGAAUUGACGGGGGCCCGCACAAGCGGUGGAGCAUGUGGUUUAAUUCGAAGCAACGCGAAGAACCUUACCUGGGCUUGACAUGCACGGGAAAGCCGGUGGAAACAUCGGCCCCUUUUCGGAGCUCGUGCACAGGUGCUGCAUGGCUGUCGU